GAAGGGGGCUAGCGUUGCUCGGAAUGACUGGGCGUAAAGGGCGCGUAGGCUGUUUGUACAGUCAGAUGUGAAAUCCCCGGGCUUAACCUGGGAACUGCAUUUGAUACGUACAGACUAGAGUCCGAGAGAGGGUUGUGGAAUUCCCAGUGUAGAGGUGAAAUUCGUAGAUAUUGGGAAGAACACCGGUUGCGAAGGCGGCAACCUGGCUCGGUACUGACGCUGAGGCGCGAAAGCGUGGGGAGCGAACAGGAUUAGAUACCCUGGUAGUCCACGCUGUAAACGAUGUGUGCUGGAUGUUGGGGGACUAUGUCUUUCAGUGUCGGAGCUAACGCGUUAAGCACACCGCCUGGGGAGUACGGUCGCAAGGUUG
rnacentral:rRNA from 1 species